rnacentral:rRNA from 1 species
UGGGGAAUUUUUCGCAAUGGGCGCAAGCCUGACGAAGCAACGCCGCGUAGAGGAUGAAGGCCCUCGCGGUCGUAAACUCUUGUCUAGCGGGACGAAAGUGCACAGAAAGAAUAAGUCUGUGUAUUGACUGUACCGCUGGAGGAAGCUCCGGCCAACUCCGUG